CUUUUUGCGAUUUCUAGUGCCUUUUCCUGCCUAUUUCGUUAUUUUAUUUUGCCUUUUUAAUAGGUUUUUAGGUCUUAAAAUCCGUUGCUUGCUUAUGUAUAUUAAAGUUUGUUGAGACGGUGUAAAAAAUAAACCACUUAAAUAUAAGAAGUAUCGUUAAUAAUGCUAGCUAAAGCAUACAAUUAUUUUUUCUGGUAACCAGGCGAUAUUUGUGCGUAAAAUAUCGAUAUCUGAUAUUAUCGUCAAAAAAAAUAUCGCGCCAAUAAUAUCGUAUCGGGAGCAAAAAGUAUCUUCGAUAUCAAUAGUAAUAUCAACAAUCCUAUGCGGUAACAUACAUAAAAAAAAAUAUUUCCGACGAUUUGAAGACCCUCUCCUUUUUUCAAGUCGUUUAAAAAGAAAUCCACCGGGUGCAUGAUUCAAUAAUGAAAGGUUUUGUAAGUAAGACUCUGCCUCGCUCUAUUUUUUAUCAGAUUCAUAUCCGAAAAAUUAAAAAAAUUUAUUCAAAAACCCUGAAACGAGAACGUUACUUACCGGCUACAGGUCUAUUCUGCGCUGGACCAAAAAUUCCAUAACCUGCAAAUGAAGUUCCCUUAAAUGUUUUCCCAUUCUAUGCUCUCUUGUAACCGGUGAAUUUUGUUACAUGUUUAAAGUACAAUGUAACCCUGGUGUCUCCUAACGAAAUUUUAACACAAUGGAAUAUUGGGAAAUUUUACGGGGUCAAUCGUAACCCAGCAAACACUGUUUCAAACGUUUGAGAAAAAUUUAUUUCUCGAUUUGAUAUCAAAUGCUUUUCUCAAAUGAUUCUCAAAUUGAAAUCGUGGUUUACAUUCUAUAUUUGAAAUUCAUUUGAGAUUGAUCUGAAGGAACAUGGUAACGUUAUAAUUAUCGAUACAUUUUGCUAAGAAUUGUUCAUCUCUAAAAUUGAUGUCAAACGAUUUGGAAGUGCGCAGUUAAACAAAAAUUGUAAGAAUAAAAUUAAAUUCAAUUGCAAAACAAAAUAACAAUGAGUAGAAAAAAAGUUAAAAGAGAAAGUGCGCAAAUACUGAAUUUGAUGCUUGCGCGGGUUGAAGAUAACCAGCCGGAACUGAGAGCUACAGCCCUUCAAGACGAAUUUAUUAGUGGUGAAAACUCGGUGGCUUCUUUUUCGUGUCUUGACCGCAAUGAAGACAGCGAAACUAAUAACUGUGACUCCGAUGACUCUGGAUCUAAUUCUAUAUGCGGGCUCCGCGAGAAAUUGACAGAUUGGACAAUUAAGCAUUACGUCACGAAUACUGCGACAGACGACUUGCUUAAGAUCUUAAGAAAUUAUGCUCCAGGUCUUCCUUUAUGUGCUAGGACGUUAAAAAAAUACUCCCAAAGAAACACAGAGAAUAGCAAUGGGCACGGGGGAGUACAUACAUUAUGGAGUUGAAGAUGCUCUGACGGAUUUUCUACUACAAAAUCAUUUUACUGCAAAUAGUUUAAAUUUAAACAUUAAUGUUGUUCAGAAAUGGCCAAUUUUGAUAAACGUUGAUGGAUCAGAUGACGUUAGAGUUGUAGGAGCUUACUGCGGAAACAGUAAAUCAUCCAAUGCUAAUGAAUUCCUUUGAAAAAUUUGUUGACGAAUUGAAGCCUUCAAAUGAAAAUGGCUUAUUUUUUAAGAAAAAGCAUUACACUUUUGCAUGUCGAGGAUUUAUAUGCGAUGCACCUGCAUUUGUUUUAGGUAUAAAAGGUCGUUCUGGCUAUAAUAGUUGUUUAAAGUGUACCCAAAGCGGUCAAUCAAAAUACCACAAGAUUAUUUUUGCAAAAGAAAAUAAUGCUGAUAGGACGUUAAUAUGGAUCAAACAGCUAUAGGAAGACUACCAAUUGAUAUAGUGAAGUCAUUCGGGCAUAUAGUUUGUCUGGGAGGGACAAAGACUUUGUUACUGGCGUGGAUAAAAAAGCGAAAUAAGCCCUACUCUCUUCGACUUGAAAAAAUUCAGUUACUGAACUCCAAACUUAGUUUUCUAUAUAAUCAAAUUCCAAAGGACUUUGCUAGGCGGCCUCGAUCCUUAAAAUAUGUUAAACGUUUUAAAGCCAUAGAAUUCAGAGCAUUUUUGCUUUACACAGGCAUAUUUAUAUUAAAAGAUGUUUUGGAUCCAAUUAGGUAUACUCAUUUUUUGUUUUCUAGUUUAGGAAUUAGAAUUCUUUUAAGUCCGAAACACUACAUUAAAUAUAAUAAUUGUGCAAAUGUAAUGUUAAACAAGUUUGUAGAAAAUAUAUCCGAGUGUUAUGAAGAAUCAUUCUUGACUUUCAACUUCCACUGUUUGACACAUUUGGCUAGUGAUACCUUACAUUUCGGUUGUUUAGAUACUUUUAGUGCGUUUAAAUUUGAGAUUUAUUUGUCGAAAUUAAAACGAAAAAUAUGAAAGCAUGAUCAUGUUGCUGCACAGGUGUACAACCGAUUAGUCGAAGAUAGCUUAAACCGACAGAAGCAUUCCACUUCAAUAAAUGAACUACAAAGAGGACGUUUUAGUAAUGGAACUUUUUCCUUUUUAAGGACAUCCGAUUUUUUUUUCUCACCAAAAGAACCUGACUACUUCUACAUCGUUGAAAACAGAAUAUAUAAGAUAGUAACUAUCCAGGGAAACCAUAUAUUAAUUUUGAAGGUGUAGAAGUUUUGAAUUUACAAAACUUUUUUAAUACGCCCAUACAAUCUGGUAAUCUUAAUAUUAAAUGUUGUAAUGUAUUAAAUUUUUCCACGACCAAAGUCUAACAUUCAUUAGAGGAAAUAUCCGAAGAAAUUAUUAAGUUCCAAAAUUUUGAAGGCAAUAUUAAUUUCUUCAUUCCUUUCCUACAUUCAUCUUAGAUUUAAAAAGUUCAACUUAAGUAAUACAACAACAUAAUACAUACAAAAGUAAUACAGACAUGGACAUGAACAUGGCCUUAAAUAGUGUAUAUGAUAACACGUCGGAUAAUACACCGAUCACCAAGAUCACCAUAAAAUUGUACAACCUUACAUUAACUUUUUCUUUUCAGAUCUCAAAAACUUGGAACAAAAAAUUUUAGAUGAAUUGAAAAAAACAGAGAGAAAAAUAUUGUCUGAAUUAAAUCACAACCAAAAAUCGGUGAAGAAGACUCUUACUCGCAUUUUGGAAGAAACGAAAGUAAGAAGUCAGAACCAUACAGAAAGGAAAGUGGCCACCAGUCUUCCAAACAACCGUAUACCAGUCUAGAUGAAUUCAAAGCAUUUGAAAAAGAAAUUCAAGAACAUCACUCCAAAUUUAAUAGCCUGGUGGCUGAGUUAUCAUUAGUGUUUUCACAAUCUGCGGAAAAGUAUGUAAAGGCUGCCUGGCGAAAAAUAUUACCGGAUGAAGCCGCUCAGCAUUUAUCUUGGAAGGGCACAGAAACCAAAAUGUCAGCUAGAUCACUGAGUGUGACAAUGGCUUUAAAAAGCUCAUUUUCGAAAAAGUAUCCACAUAGUUCGGACAGCGAAUUUGUGUAUCUUAUAUAGUAACCACCUAACAGAUCAGAGAAACUAUACUGUGAUCAUGUAGAUAAUGUUUUAGAUUUAUCACUUGCAAAUAAGGAAGCCCAAUUGUGUAUACUUGGUGACUAUAAUCUUAGCAAAAUUAUAUGGUCAUGCCUUUUGGAUGAUACCGUGCUUAUUCCUAGUAAUGUGAAUUGCCCCAGUGAAAUUUAUUUAAUCGAUGGAUUCUUUAGCUUAGAAUUAGACAAAUUAAUAACUUUGUAAAUGAGCUUAACCCUUUCGUUACAUCUUUUUAGAUUCGGGCUUUAAAAAUCCAAUUUUUUUUAUUAAAUGAUCCUUAAUACAUAAUAUAAUAACAUUCAAUUUAAUC